AUUGAACGCUAGCGGCAUGCCUUACACAUGCAAGUCGAACGGUAACAGGUCUUCGGAUGCUGACGAGUGGCGAACGGGUGAGUAAUACAUCGGAACGUGCCUAGUAGUGGGGGAUAACUACUCGAAAGAGUGGCUAAUACCGCAUGAGAUCUACGGAUGAAAGCAGGGGAUCGCAAGACCUUGUGCUACUAGAGCGGCCGAUGGCAGAUUAGGUAGUUGGUGGGAUAAAAGCUUACCAAGCCGACGAUCUGUAGCUGGUCUGAGAGGACGAUCAGCCACACUGGGACUGGGACACGGCCCAGACUCCUACGGGAGGCAGCAGUGGGAAUUUUGGACAAUGGGCGAAAGCCUGAUCCAGCAAUGCCGCGUGCAGGAUGAAGGCCUUCGGGUUGUAAACUGCUUUUGUACGGAACGAAAAGCCCCGGGUUAAUACCCUGGGGUCAUGACGGUACCGUAAGAAUAAGCACCGGCUAACUACGUGCCAGCCGCCGCCGUAA
rnacentral:rRNA from 1 species